rnacentral:rRNA from 1 species
GACGUAGGGGGCCAGCGUUGUUCGGAAUUACUGGGCGUAAAGGGCGCGUAGGCGGCCGUUCAAGUCAGAUGUGAAAGUCCUGGGCUUAACCUGGGGACUGCAUUUGAUACUGAUUGGCUUGAAUUCGGGAGAGGAUAGCGGAAUUCCCAGUGUAGAGGUGAAAUUCGUAGAUAUUGGGAAGAACACCGGUGGCGAAGGCGGCUAUCUGGACCGACAUUGACGCUGAGGCGCGAAAGCGUGGGGAGCAAACAGG